rnacentral:rRNA from 1 species
CACGUAGGGGGCGAGCGUUGUCCGGAUUUAUUGGGCGUAAAGAGCUCGUAGGUGGUUCGGUAAGUCGGGUGUGAAAACUCUGGGCUCAACUCAGAGACGCCACCUGAUACUGCUGUGACUUGAGUCUGGUAGGGGAGUGUGGAAUUCCCGGUGUAGCGGUGAAAUGCGCAGAUAUCGGGAGGAACACCAGUGGCGAAGGCGGCACUCUGGGCCAGUACUGACACUGAGGAGCGAAAGCGUGGGUAGCGAA